AGGCCUUUUUUCUCUGGACUCUGCAUGAAUAAGUGGCUUCCUUCUAACUGCCACAUUGUGCCAGGUGAUCGACUCUACAGCAGAAUAGAAUUCUGGUAUAUCUACACUUCAAACAAGUUUACAAUGGAAGAAUGGCCUCCUCAAAACCCCAAACAGCUGAGGAAUCGGGCCAAUUAGUAGGAUUAUUGCAAAGACCAGACAUUUAUCAGGACCCUUUUGCAGAAACACAUGUGGGGCUGUAAGCGAUGCAUUUCCUGGCUUCUGACAUGAGCUAAACAUCUGUUCAAGGCAAGGCUGUAAUGAAACGUGGAGGUUCUUUUGUAGGUCCCAAGGCAUCUGAGAGUGGAGA
rnacentral:lncRNA from 1 species